AUACGUAGGUGGCAAGCGUUGUCCGGAAUUAUUGGGCGUAAAGCGCGCGCAGGCGGUCCUUUAAGUCUGAUGUGAAAGCCCACGGCUCAACCGUGGAGGGUCAUUGGAAACUGGGGGACUUGAGUGCAGAAGAGGAAAGUGGAAUUCCAAGUGUAGCGGUGAAAUGCGUAGAGAUUUGGAGGAACACCAGUGGCGAAGGCGGCUUUCUGGUCUGUAACUGACGCUGAGGCGCGAAAGCGUGGGGAGAAAACAGGAUUAGAUACCCUGGUAGUCCACGCCGUAAACGAUGAGUGCUAAGUGUUAGGGGGUUUCCGCCCCUUAGUGCUGCAGCUAACGCAUUAAGCACUCCGCCUGGGGAGUACGGUCGCAAGACUGAAACUCAAAUGAAUUGGCGGGG
rnacentral:rRNA from 1 species